rnacentral:rRNA from 1 species
UACGUAGGGUGCGAGCGUUAAUCGGAAUUACUGGGCGUAAAGUGUGCGCAGGCGGUUUUGUAAGCCAGAUGUGAAAUCCCCGGGCUCAACCUGGGAAUGGCAUUUGGGACUGCAAGGCUGGAGUACGGCAGAGGAGACUGGAAUUCCUGGUGUAGCAGUGAAAUGCGUAGAUAUCAGGAGGAAUACCGAUGGCGAAGGCAGGUCUCUGGGCUGAUACUGACGCUCAUGCACGAAAGCGUGGGGAGCAAACAGG